rnacentral:rRNA from 1 species
AUUGAACGCUGGCGGAAUGCUUUACACAUGCAAGUCGAACGGCAGCACGGGGCAACCUGGUGGCGAGUGGCGAACGGGUGAGUAAUAUAUCGGAACGUGCCCAGUAGUGGGGGAUAGCCCGGCGAAAGCCGGAUUAAUACCGCAUACGACCUGAGGGUGAAAGCGGGGGAUCGCAAGACCUCGCGCUAUUGGAGCGGCCGAUAUCAGAUUAGCUAGUUGGUGGGGUAAAGGCCUACCAAGGCUACGAUCUGUAGUUGGUCUGAGAGGACGACCAGCCACACUGGGACUGAGACACGGCCCAGACUCCUACGGGAGGCAGCAGUGGGGAAUUUUGGACAAUGGGCGCAAGCCUGAUCCAGCAAUGCCGCGUGCAGGAAGAAGGCCUUCGGGUUGUAAACUGCUUUUGUCAGGGAAGAAAUCUUCUGGGCUAAUACCCCGGGAGGAUGACGGUACCUGAAGAAUAAGCACCGGCUAACUACGUG